rnacentral:rRNA from 1 species
UACGUAGGGUGCGAGCGUUACUCGGAAUUACUGGGCGUAAAGCGUGCGCAGGCGGUCUGUUAAGACCGAUGUGAAAUCCCCGGGCUUAACCUGGGAACUGCAUUGGUGACUGGCAGGCUUUGAGUGUGGCAGAGGGAGGUAGAAUUCCACGUGUAGCAGUGAAAUGCGUAGAGAUGUGGAGGAAUACCGAUGGCGAAGGCAGCCCCCUGGGCCAAUACUGACGCUCAUGCGCGAAAGCGUGGGGAGCAAACAGG